AACUACAGGAAGACGGCCCACGGGCAGAAUUCAGUCCCAGAACAGAAAUGCUGCAAGCUUUAGUUCACAGAGCUGCCCGCUCUUGGGGAAGCCACUCUGACCAGUGUUUUCACAGAGGUUAGAAGGUGCAUCAACUUGAGGAACAUUACAAACACACACAUGGUCCCAUCCAAGGACUUCGCUGUCAACACACACAUUAACAGAGGGAGGCAGUACACUAAAAUCAGCACUAUCGAAAGGACUUUGCCAUCAACACACACAUUAACGGGGGGAGGCAGUACACUAAAACCAGCACUAUCGAAAGGACUUUGCCAUCGACACACACAUUAAUGGGGGGAGGCAGUACACUAAAACCAGCACUAUCGAAAGGACUUUGCCAUCAACACACACAUUAACGGGGGGAGGCAGUACACUAAAACCAGCACUAUCGAAAGGACUUUGCCAUCAACACACACAUUAACGGGGGGCAGGGCGCACACUAAAACCAGCACUAUCAAAUGGGCAACUGAACAGAUAAACAUCACCAGGCUACACAGAGUUAAGUGCAUAAUUGGCAUAAAGGCUCUUGUUAUCCCAAGAACACAGAACAUUUACACUCACAUCCACAAACUGUCAAGUUCUGUAACAGCACUAAUAGCAGGAAGCUUUUCUCCAACUUUGACCACAGAAGCUAAGGCAAGAGAGACUCGGCCACCAGGGAAGGACGAGCUCUGCUGCACAAGGGGAGAGAGAAGGGAGUUGGGUUGUACUUUCACUGAGAACCACAAUGACCAUCGAACAGAUGACAGAGUGGUCAGGGACACACUAAGAAGAGGGUGGGUGGGGUUCCUGUCCUCACCUUAGGAUGGCAUCAGGGACUUGCCUGAGCUUCAAAGAUCAUACCUGCACCAAAAAGCCAGGUUAACUAAAAGAGACCUUAACACCUAAGAGGGGCCGACAGCCCCUGUGAGUAAGUGCUCCUUCAGCAAGAGCUGCCGCCUCACGUAUGCUUGUGGCAUAAGGCUGCAGACGAGCCUGGCCUAAGCAUCAGUUCUGUUCUUUGCUUCAAGCUCACCAGGGCAGAUGAAGAAAGUCAGCUUCUGGCAUCAUCUAUACUUCAAAUGUUCCAAACGGGAAAUCCCAGCAACACAGGGACAUUCACGGCUGCCUCUCUGAGGUCUCUGAGGAGUCCAGGAUAGUCAUGAUUGUUGUGUGGCCCCCAAAAUACCCAAAUAAGCGGACAAAAUGCCCACGACGUAGUCUCAUUCUCUGCUGCUUCUCCUCGGGGCACGGUCUGACCCCAGUCCAGGACAGGGAGAGAGAGAACGCCACCGUUUCAGCAGCAGGAGGAGAGGUGGCUGAGAAAGGCCUGGCUCAGAAGCUCCAGAACAAAAACAAAGGAAAAUUGGAAAAGAUACUUGACAUGCAGGUGAAACCAGGUCUGGUUCUAGAGGAGAAGAAACCAGGUCUGGUUCUAGAGGAGAAGAAACCAGGUCUGGUUCUAGAGGAGAAGGCCACAGACGCUGGAAGAACUGGGUCUUGCUGUCUCUUCCCCUGACAGAGGCACUAGAAGCUUCACUGAAGGACCCACAUGUCAGUUCUGAUGAAAACACCUGGAGCUUACAAAUUACCUGUCACCACAGACUCUGGACCCAUCAACCUACCAAAGGCUGACUGCACAUGGACGUCAGACAAGUCAGUAAAAAAAAA